GGAUCCAGACUUUGAUCCUGGCUCAGGAUGAACGCUGGCGGCGUGCCUAACACAUGCAAGUCGAACGGAACUUUAACGGAACAAGGCUUCGGCCAAGUGAAAUUAAAGUUUAGUGGCGGACGGGUGAGUAACGCGUGAGUAACCUGCCUUUCACAGGGGGAUAACGUUUGGAAACGAACGCUAAUACCGCAUAAUACAGCAGAGUCGCAUGGCUCAGCUGUCAAAGAUUUUAUCGGUGAAAGAUGGACUCGCGUCCGAUUAGGUAGUUGGUGAGGUAACGGCUCACCAAGCCGACGAUCGGUAGCCGGACUGAGAGGUUGAACGGCCACAUUGGGACUGAGACACGGCCCAGACUCCUACGGGAGGCAGCAGUGGGGAAUAUUGCACAAUGGGCGCAAGCCUGAUGCAGCAACGCCGCGUGAGGGAAGACGGUUUUCGGAUUGUAAACCUCUGUCUUCGGUGACGAAGAAGUGACGGUAGCCAAGGAGGAAGCCACGGCUAACUACGUGCCAGCAGCCGCGGUAAUACGUAGGUGGCAAGCGUUAUCCGGAAUUACUGGGUGUAAAGGGAGCGCAGGCGGGAUAGCAAGUCAGCGGUGAAAUGCAUGGGCUUAACUCAUGAGCUGCCGUUGAAACUGUUAUUCUUGAGUGGAGUAGAGGCAGGCGGAAUUCCGAGUGUAGCGGUGAAAUGCGUAGAUAUUCGGAGGAACACCAGUGGCGAAGGCGGCCUGCUGGGCUCUAACUGACGCUGAGGCUCGAAAGUGUGGGGAGCAAACAGGAUUAGAUACCCUGGUAGUCCACACUGUAAACGAUGAUUGCUAGGUGUGGGGGGUCUGACCCCCUCCGUGCCGGAGUUAACGCAAUAAGCAAUCCACCUGGGGAGUACGGCCGCAAGGUUGCAACUCAAAGGAAUUGACGG
rnacentral:rRNA from 1 species